rnacentral:rRNA from 1 species
UCGAGAAUCAUUCGCAAUGGGCGCAAGCCUGACGAUGCGACGCCGUGUGUAUGAUGAAGGCCUUCGGGUCGUAAAGUACUUUCGCCUGGGAACAAGAGAAACUGGCUAAUAUCCAGCGUAUUUGAGGGUACCAGGUAAAGAAGCACCGGCUAACUCCGUGCCAGCAGCUGCGGUAAUACGGAGGGUGCAAGCAUUAAUCGGAUUUAUUGGGCGUAAAGGGCGCGUAGGCGGGCUUGUAAGUCAGAUGUGAAAGCCCGGGGCUCAACCCCGGAAUUGCAUUUGAAACUGCGAGUCUAGAGGGUAGGCGGAGAAAAUAGAAUUCCACAAGUAGCGGUGAAAUGCGUAGAUAUGUGGAAGAAUACCAGUGGCGAAAGCGGUUUUCUAGCUUAUACCUGACGCUGAGGCGCGAAAGCAAGGGGAUCAAACAGGAUUAGAUACCCCCGUAGUCC